UACAGAGACUGCAAGCGUUAUUCGGAUUCACUGGGCGUAAAGGGUGCGCAGGCGGUCGUGUGUGUCAGAUGUGAAAUCCCGGAGCUUAACUCCGGAACUGCGUCUGAAACUACACGACUAGAGCAUUGGAGAGGGAAGUGGAAUUCAUGGUGUAGCAGUGAAAUGCGUAGAUAUCAUGAGGAACACCAGAGGCGAAGGCGACUUCCUGGGACAAUUGCUGACGCUCAGGCACGAAAGCAUGGGGAGCAAAAGGG
rnacentral:rRNA from 1 species